rnacentral:rRNA from 1 species
GAUGAACGCUGGCGGCGUGCCUAAUACAUGCAAGUCGAGCGAACAGACGAGGAGCUUGCUCCUCUGACGUUAGCGGCGGACGGGUGAGUAACACGUGGAUAACCUACCUAUAAGACUGGGAUAACUUCGGGAAACCGGAGCUAAUACCGGAUAAUAUAUUGAACCGCAUGGUUCAAUAGUGAAAGACGGUUUUGCUGUCACUUAUAGAUGGAUCCGCGCCGCAUUAGCUAGUUGGUAAGGUAACGGCUUACCAAGGCAACGAUGCAUAGCCGACCUGAGAGGGUGAUCGGCCACACUGGAACUGAGACACGGUCCAGACUCCUACGGGAGGCAGCAGUAGGGAAUCUUCCGCAAUGGGCGAAAGCCUGACGGAGCAACGCCGCGUGAGUGAUGAAGGUCUUCGGAUCGUAAAACUCUGUUAUUAGGGAAGAACAAAUGUGUAAGUAACUAUGCACGUCUUGACGGUACCUAAUCAGAAAGCCACGGCUAACUACGUG